rnacentral:rRNA from 1 species
CUACGGGUUGCUCCAGUGAGGAAUUUUGCGCAAUGGGGGUAACCCUGACGCAGCAACGCCGCGUGAGUGAUGAAGGCUUUCGGGUCGUAAAGCUCUGCCAAGUGGGAAGAAUAUACGAAAUGCUAAUACCAUUUUGUACUGACGGUACCACUGAAGGAAGCACCGGCUAACUCCGUGCCAGCAGCCGCGGUAAUACGGGGGGUGCAAGCGUUAUUCGGAAUUAUUGGGCGUAAAGAGCACGUAGGCGGCCGCUUAAGUCAGAUGUGAAAGCCCGGGGCUCAACCCCGGAAGUGCAUUUGAAACUAAGUGGCUUGAGUAUGGGAGAGGGAAGUGGAAUUCCUGGUGUAGAGGUGAAAUUCGUAGAUAUCAGGAGGAACACCGGUGGCGAAGGCGACUUCCUGGACCAAUACUGACGCUGAGGUGCGAAGGCGUGGGGAGCAAACAGGAUUAGAUACCCCCGUAGUC